rnacentral:rRNA from 1 species
AUUGAACGCUGGCGGCAUGCCUUACACAUGCAAGUCGAACGGUAACAGGUCUUCGGAUGCUGACGAGUGGCGAACGGGUGAGUAAUAUAUCGGAACGUGCCCAGUCGUGGGGGAUAACGCAGCGAAAGCUGUGCUAAUACCGCAUACGAUCUAUGGAUGAAAGCGGGGGAUCGCAAGACCUCGCGCGAUUGGAGCGGCCGAUAUCAGAUUAGGUAGUUGGUGGGGUAAAGGCCCACCAAGCCAACGAUCUGUAGCUGGUCUGAGAGGACGACCAGCCACACUGGAACUGAGACACGGUCCAGACUCCUACGGGAGGCAGCAGUGGGGAAUUUUGGACAAUGGGGGCAACCCUGAUCCAGCCAUUCCGCGUGCAGGAUGAAGGCCUUCGGUUGUUAACUGCUUUGUUACGGAACGAACGGUACUGCCCUAACUACGGCGGGCGUAAUGACGGUACCGUAAGAAUAAGACACCGGCUAACCUACGUGCCAGCAGCCGCGGU